rnacentral:rRNA from 1 species
GUUUGAUCCUGGCUCAGGACGAACGCUGGCGGCGUGCUUAACACAUGCAAGUCGAACGGUAAGGCUCUUCGGAGUACACGAGUGGCGAACGGGUGAGUAACACGUGAGCAACCUGCCCCAGACACUGGGAUAACAUUUGGAAACAGAUGCUAAUACCGGAUACGACCUCCAAGGGCAUCCUCGGAGGUGGAAAGCUCCGGCGGUCUGGGAUGGGCUCGCGGCCUAUCAGCUUGUUGGUGAGGUAACGGCUCACCAAGGCGUCGACGGGUAGCCGGCCUGAGAGGGCGACCGGCCACACUGGGACUGAGAUACGGCCCAGACUCCUACGGGAGGCAGCAGUGGGAAUAUUGCGCAAUGGGCGAAAGCCUGACGCAGCAACGCCGCGUGCGGGACGACGGCCUC